AGGGUGUAAACGCUGCAGACUUGGUGUUGGGAACCCUUCGGGGGUGCUCAGUGCCGGAGAGAAGUUGUUAAGUCUGCUACUUGGGGAGUACGUCCGCAAGGAUGAAACUUAAAGGAAUUGGCGGGGGAGCACCGCAACGGGAGGAGCGUGCGGUUUAAUUGGAUUCAACGCCGAAAAACUCACCAGCAGCGACCGUUACAUGAAAGUCAGGUUGAUGACCUUACUAGAUUUUCAGAGAGGAGGUGCAUGGCGUCAGUGACU
rnacentral:rRNA from 1 species